GCAAGCCAGAAAGACACGAGUUUGCUUUUCUAAAUGGUCCCCAUUAUUCCAAGGGUAGGCAGUCUAAUUCCUUUCUUAGAUGUCCACCAUCCAAUGGACGCAUGCACCAAAGUUUUUUCCAGACCAAAAGAGAGGAGAAAAUUGCUCCAAGACCAUUCAAAUUGAAUACCAAUGGGAGAGGUUCAUAGAGGAUUUUUUUCUUGAGGCUGCUUGCCCAUGUUAUGGGAUUUGGGUUUGUUGUAGCUUCUGAAGGUGGUAUUCAUCUCUGUUUCUGUGCCUGCAAGGUAUCAGUUAUCAGGUUGGUAACCGUUGCUUUCCGUUCUGAGUGUCAGAAGUCACAAGCAAAACCCACUUCAGCGUCAGCGAUUCUCUUUCCGUUCCGAAUCGACCCCAAGAUUGGCUUCCUUCUGUUUUGUUGAGGAAUCUAUGAAAUUUUUUUCACCUCUGAGAGGACUGUUACAGUGACCAUUUCUGAUGCUUAUGCUGCAAGUGGGGUUUGUAGUCCUCUGGUCUUCCGUUUUCAUUGAGUUAGGCGAGCAGUGGGUUAGCCACCUUCUUGUCACCAAAAAAAAAUAAUAAUAAAGAAAAGAAAAGAAAUCUACCAACUUCCUUUGGGCCCAAAAGAAGAUUUUUUUUGAUGUGAGGGCCCAAAAGAAGAUUGAGGAGCAGAAGCCUCUAUCAGACAUGGGCAGAGGUGUGGAUAAGUAUGAUUAUUUCGCAUUCUUGGGACAGGCCAAUGUGAACCCACUUGUUACUGAAUUGUCACUUUCGUGGCAAGAAGCAGCAGCAUCUGGUCUCAUUGUUUUCUCUAUCUACGUAUCAUUCGCACUGUGCUUUAGACCAGUGAGUUCAGGUGAGGUUGAGCUUUUCCGCAUCCUGCUUCUCGAGAGCAUGGAGCAACAAUCAAGAAAUGCAAAUCCAUCCCAAAUUGUCUCAUUCGGGAUAUUCCGAGCUAUGCCGGCAGCGGACUAGAGGAUGAUUCUAGCAUUGUGAACAAAAAAUUGGUAAAGGAUGGUUGUCGACUUCAUUUAAAAAUCAUAAAGUAAAAAGAUAUAAUUUUGAUAGAUCCUUAUUUCAAUCAUUUGAAGGGUGGAGCUCCUCCUUUUACCCUCCGCAUCCUCGAGCAUCCUUCACGAUCC